CUGGGAAACUUUACAAAAACUUGUAAUGUCCAGUGAUUCAAAUUAAAUGGGAGAUCAUGGAGUAUUAAGAUGAAUGGAUCUAGAAAUAUUGCUUCUCUAACAGAAGUUGAAACCAGGAAUUCUAUUACAUAGUGUGCUGUUCAAGAUCACCUGGAUGGUUCUGGAACUAAGGAAAAUCCUUACAGAAAUACACAGACCAUAUCUUGUCUUGUAUUGCCAUCAUUAAAAAAAACCCACAAAAUUCACAGUUAAAAAUUACUGAUAGAGAACAGUAAUAGUUGGUAAUUAGUGUUAUCGAGUUACUAUUAGUUAUAUUGUUGGAUUUUUUUAAAGCAUCAAGCUAUUAGUUUCUGUAUCUGAUUAUAAAAACAUAAGUUUCCAAAGUUUUUAAAUCUCUUUAAAAUUAUUUCCAUAACUCACAUCAAUAAUUUUUUUUUCUGUAAUUAGUUUGCUGUUAAAAUAACCAUUGGGUCAUCAGCCUUUUCUAUCUCUACUCAUAACUACAUUAUUGUUGAAUGACAUUUAAAACUUUUUUUUCUUUAAAAAUAAACAUAUCAUGGCUGGG
rnacentral:lncRNA from 1 species